CAGUCGAGCGAACAGAUAAGGAGCUUGCUCCUUUGACGUUAGCGGCGGACGGGUGAGUAACACGUGGGUAACCUACCUAUAAGACUGGAAUAACUCCGGGAAACCGGGGCUAAUGCCGGAUAACAUUUAGAACCGCAUGGUUCUAAAGUGAAAGAUGGUUUUGCUAUCACUUAUAGAUGGACCCGCGCCGUAUUAGCUAGUUGGUAAGGUAACGGCUUACCAAGGCAACGAUACGUAGCCGACCUGAGAGGGUGAUCGGCCACACUGGAACUGAGACACGGUCCAGACUCCUACGGGAGGCAGCAGUAGGGAAUCUUCCGCAAUGGGCGAAAGCCUGACGGAGCAACGCCGCGUGAGUGAUGAAGGUCUUCGGAUCGUAAAACUCUGUUAUUAGGGAAGAACAAAUGUGUAAGUAACUGUGCACGUCUUGACGGUACCUAAUCAGAAAGCCACGGCUAACUACGUGCCAGCAGCCGCGGUAAUACGUAGGUGGCAAGCGUUAUCCGGAAUUAUUGGGCGUAAAGCGCGCGUAGGCGGUUUCUUAAGUCUGAUGUGAAAGCCCACGGCUCAACCGUGGAGGGUCAUUGGAAACUGGGAAACUUGAGUGCAGAAGAGGAAAGUGGAAUUCCAUGUGUAGCGGUGAAAUGCGCA
rnacentral:rRNA from 1 species